UAUCUGUCCUAAUUAAAUUUCUAUUCGAAGUAAAAGAACAUAUCUAUUGGGCUUGUUUUGUAGAACUGAAAUACUGUCUGGUUUUAAUGAAGAAUCUUAAUUAUUUUGUGGAAAAAGAGAUUUAAUGCGUCCUUAGGCAAUCCUGUUACCUGACACUAUUUUGAUUCCUUCUCUUUUUAGAGAACGCUUUGUGUUAGAUCAGUAAAAUAUGUGAAUAUUUAUUUGUAUGUUUUUAUUGGAGCGACACAACUUUUCUUUACAGGUUUUCAAAUGGUGUUUGAAUAUCUGCUAAUAAAAAGCCACAGAGGGAAGGGGUGAUGAAGUUCAGACCACCUAGAAAUGCAGUGGGCAGAAAUGUGGGCAUCUCAUAUGCAAGAGACAGCAGAAUUCAAUCUUAGCACGUAUCAGUCUGAGAAUUUGUUCACUCUGGAGAGACACUGGAUCACAAUGUACAAGGAAUAGAAUAGAAAUUUAAAAUCUGUUCAGGGCUGUUCUCCACUCCUCUUUUCUGUAUUGCAGUGCUUCAUGCUUUUUCAAACCACCCAUUUAUUUUAUCAAAUUCUUUUUUUUGAAAAAAGAAUAUUGACAUUUUAGAAUUGAAAUACUGCAAAAGAGAAUUAUUUUAGGUCUGAGACUGUUGAUGUGUGGGAUAUCCCUCUUAAAGAAAAAAGGUAUGCUUACUGUGAAGUGGGAGAGGAUAGAUUUUAAAAGCUUUUACAUUUUGCACCUUUUCCACUUUGAUUUGAAACUCAAGAAUAUGCCUGCUUAGCACUGUAUUUUUAAACAAGGUUUUGAACAGAUCAGGCUUCCUACUUUUUUAAUAAUAUAAAGCAUACAGUCCAUUUGGCUACCUGAUAAUCUGUGGCUGAAUUGUGUAAAGAGGUAUGGAAUCCUCAAGAUGGGGAUUAUGAAGGGUUUUAUCAGGGGUUUUUCUUAGUUAAUAGAACAGAAAGACUAAGGAAAUUUAACCAAAAUUCAUUUAUAAAAUAUAUCUGUACCAUCAAAUAAAAGGUGGGGGUUUUUUCAGAUGUUGCUUCAUAGUGAGAAAAAGCCUGAUUUACCCUUUUACAGUUAAUUGCCCUUUUUUUUUAAUCUCUCCCAAACAUGUAUCUUCAUUUUAGCUGCCUGAUCCUAUUGCUUUACUUGAAGUAAUAUUUUGGUAGUAUCAAGAACCAUAGUUGUUUCUAGUUCAAGCUACCAUAGCAGGUCUGUCAGUCCCAGCCUAACAGAAAACCAUGAGCAGCAGGAGAAUUGAGCUGAACAAAUGAAGAUUAUGGCUGGAUGGAGUCAGUUUGUACUUCUUAGAUGUGAGAUAUUUGGAAUCACACCAGACACCAAGAACUUGCCCUUUGCUAGUGAGUCAGUAUUGCUUUGUGGGCAGUCUCUGCUUUACUGCAGGGAACAGGUUUGCUCGAGAAAACCUGAAGUAUGAGCAGACCCAAAAGCACAUGCUUUGUGUUCAACCAUGAACAUACCAAAAUCUCAUAAUAUCUGCAUUAAGUAUCUUUCAGGUUAUUUUUAGGCUACUCCUGUGAAGAUUGCAGCUCCCAAAAGAAACUGGACACCACCAGUAGCACACAGGAGAGAGCUGGAUACUGUCCAACAAACAUAAAGGUUCAUAAAGGGAGACAAUGGUUGCUGCCUGUAUUCAUCAUUUUGUCACGUUCCCUUCUCUCAAUCUCCAGUGACUCCAGAUGUCUGUGGGAGGCCUUAUAUAAGCACAAGGUAAAGAAUUUUGAUGGAACAAUGUACCACUCUAGGUCUGUAAUGAGUCACCUCAUCUGUGCAGCAUUUUUCAACAUAAAUGUGUGCUUUUAAAAAAUUAAAUAUUCUAGAUUUGAGCCUGUAAGGAUGCAAGAAAAGCAAGUAUCAGUCUUGGCAAUGAGAGGAAAGUGGUCUCAUCUUUCCAUUUUUCUUUUUUGGAGAGGACAAUAAUACAGAUAUGAAAAUGUUCUUAUUUAAAGAGGUCUUUUAGCAAAAUGCAGUAGGUAGAAGUCCAAAGAGGAGUGAUUCAAGUGAAACAAUCAUUUUUCGUGUGCGUGCGAUCCAGUUUUUAUGUACUGUGUCCAUGAAGAUCUUUUGAGGUCAUGGAUAAGUUAUUAGCUGCAGACACUCUUAACUCCUAAAGAACAUUUUCUUUGUAGGAAAGAAUCAGCAGAACAUUCCUGCUUGGUUCAGCAUUUCUGGUUCAGUUCUGAUCAUGUGGGAGCAAACUUCUGCAGACAUGUCUCUUGCUGCCGUAGACACGUGUGCUUUAUUGUUAUGCCCUUAAACCUUGGACUUGUCCAUGGAAUGUUCUCAAUUACAAAUUUCAGAUCUUUGCAGUAAAUAGCAGGAAAGGACUCAUGCUUCUCAAAAACUGCUUGAGGUAGCUCUUUGAAAGAACAGCUUGGUUUGCUUUCUGAUGGUUGGGAUCAACCCAAAUCCCCUUCUCACAGGCUGGGAAAUGCAUAGUGGGAAAGGCUUGUUUUCAGGAUGAUGGUCACAGGAUGGAUUCAUCAUGAUUGUUAAGAUAGGGUUAUUCUUCAUCGCUCUCUUCAUAUCUAAACUGAAGUACCUCUUGAAUAAAGUUUGGGCUCCAUGAUUCAUUCUUUCACUUUUUAUUUCCCUCUCUCCUGUUUUUCUCCAGUGAAGGUCGUGUAAAUAUUGACUUUUCAGGCUUUGUAGUUGGUUGAGUCUCUGAUUCACCAUCAGCUUGAACUGUGCCUUCACCUCCAGGAACCCUCUGCUUCCAUCUUCAGUUUCUGUCUUGCUUUUCCUGGAAAGGCCUGGGCAGGAUCUGCAGGUCAUAUAACACCAUCCACAUGCAUACUGUCUGGCAGCUCAGCAUCUGAGAGCCUGCAAGAGGGAAGUUAUGGAUAGUUAGCCAAAGCUAACUAAACUGAAGAGUUUUUCUGUACCAUGUCUUGGCAUAUCAAGAGAAAAAAA
ensembl:lncRNA